rnacentral:rRNA from 1 species
UAAACUCUUGUUGUUGAGGAAGAUAAUGACGGUACUCAACAAGGAAGUGACGGCUAACUACGUGCCAGCAGCCGCGGUAAAACGUAGGUCACAAGCGUUGUCCGGAAUUACUGGGUGUAAAGGGAGCGCAGGCGGGAAGACAAGUUGGAAGUGAAAUCUAUGGGCUCAACCCAUAAACUGCUUUCAAAACUGUUUUUCUUGAGUAGUGCAGAGGUAGGCGGAAUUCCCGGUGUAGCGGUGGAAUGCGUAGAUAUCGGGAGGAACACCAGUGGCGAAGGCGGCCUACUGGGCACCAACUGACGCUGAGGCUCGAAAGUGUGGGUAGCAAACAGGAUUAGAUACCCUGGUAGUCCACACCGUAAACGAUGAUUACUAGGUGUUGGAGGAUUGACCCCUUCAGUGCCGCAGUUAACACAAUAAGUAAUCCACCUGGGGAGUACGACCGCAAGGUUGAAACUCAAAGGAAUUGACGGGGGCCCGCACAAGCAGUGGAGUAUGUGGUUUAAUUYGACGCAACGCGAAGAACCUUACCAAGUCUUGACAUCCCUUGACGAACAUAGAAAUAUGUUUUCUCUUCGGAGCAAGGAGACAGGUGGUGCAUGGUUGUCGUCAGCUCGUGUCGUGAGAUGUUGGGUUAAGUCCCGCAACGAGCGCAACCCUUAUGGUCAGUUACUACGCAAGAGGACUCUGGCCAGACUGCGGUUGACAAA